rnacentral:rRNA from 1 species
UACCAGCACCCCGAGUGGUCGGGACGAUUAUUGGGCCUAAAGCAUCCGUAGCCGGUACUGCAAGUCUUCCGUUAAAUCCACCUGCUUAACAGAUGGGCUGCGGAAGAUACUACAAGACUAGGAGGCGGGGGAGGCAAGCGGUACUCAGUGGGUAGGGGUAAAAUCCUCUGAUCCAUUGAAGACCACCAGUGGCGAAGGCGGCUUGCCAAUACGCGCUCGACGGUGAGGGAUGAAAGCUGGGGGAGCAAACCGG